AAGGGCACCACAAGAACGCGUGGAGCAUGUGGCUUAAUUUGACUCAACGCGGGAAAUCUUACCGGGUCCGGACAUACUGAGGAUUGACAGGCGAUUGAGGUUUAGAGCACUUGUGUUCUUUUCCUCUAUAAAUAUGCUAGUCCUUUCAUGAUUGUGUGAUAGGUGGUGCAUGGCCGUUCUUAGUUCGUGGAGUGAUCUGUCUGCUUAAUUGCGUUUCACAAAGGACUCUCUAACUUCUGUCUGAUGCGCGACACUCCGGUGUUUGUUGCACGGCAGAGAAGACGUCCUGAAGGCAACGAACGUGACCGCAACCUCUUGUUGCCUCCUUUGCUUUCCAUAGCAACAUGGAUUGUGUUUACUUGUGUCUUCCCGACACUAGUUUCGCUGUCCUGCAUGGAGUUUUUGCCAACUAGAGGGACCGCUGACAACUUUUAAAACAGAGGAAGGUUGCGGCAAUAACAGGUCUGUGAUGCCCUUAGAUGUUCCGGGCUGCACACGUGCUACAAUGAUUAUUGCAGUGAGCAUCUAUUCUUUACAAGGCUGUUGUCUGUGUUUGGUCUCUGACUAGACACAGCGCGGCUAACUAACCUUCUUCGAAAGUAAGAAGGUAAUCAAUUCGAAGUAAUGAUUUCCUUUUCGCACAUACUUAUAUCUCUUGUUGUGGUCGUGCUUUCAGCUUGUCUGUCAGUAUUGUUUAUCACCUGGAGAUAUGUGCUCCAUUAAUUCGUGGUGGGGACAGACCAUUGUUAAUUGUUGGUCUCGGUCUCAACUAGGAAUGCCUUGUACGGGUCUUUGGUUCAACAAACCACCCGGAAUAUGUCCCUGCCCUUUGUACACACCGCCCGUCA
rnacentral:rRNA from 1 species